rnacentral:rRNA from 1 species
GAUGAACGCUGGCGGCGUGCCUAAUACAUGCAAGUCGAGCGAAUGGAUUAAGAGCUUGCUCUUAUGAAGUUAGCGGCGGACGGGUGAGUAACACGUGGGUAACCUGCCCAUAAGACUGGGAUAACUCCGGGAAACCGGGGCUAAUACCGGAUAACAUUUUGAACCGCAUGGUUCGAAAUUGAAAGGCGGCUUCGGCUGUCACUUAUGGAUGGACCCGCGUCGCAUUAGCUAGUUGGUGAGGUAACGGCUCACCAAGGCAACGAUGCGUAGCCGAGCUGGGAGGGUGAUCGGCCACACUGGGACUGAGACACGGCCCAGACUCCUACGGGAGGCAGCAGUAGGGAAUCUUCCGCAAUGGACGAAAGUCUGACGGAGCAACGCCGCGUGAGGGAUGACGGCCUUCGGGUUGUAAACCUCUUUUGUUAGGGAAGAACAAGUGCUAGUUGAAUAAGCUGGCACCUUGACGGUACCUAACCAGAAAGCCACGGCUAACUACGUGCCAGCAGCCGCCGCGG